rnacentral:lncRNA from 1 species
CAAUAGAAUAGAGUUCAUCCGGCACUUGCCCUUCCAAUAAGUUACCAUUCAAUAACACAAGUUGCAAACUUGAAGAAGCUAUACUAUCUGGAAUUGAGCCUGUUAAUUGAUUGUUGGACAAGUCCAGGUGUAUUAGGGAUUUUUGACCAAGGCCAAACGGUACUUCACCCAUCAAUAAAUUAGAGCUCAAGUUCAGGCUUACCAAGUCCGACAAAAGACUAAUCUGGUCGCUUAUGAACCCUUUCAAGCCUUACAACCCGUUAUUGGAUUACUUAGCUCUUGUUGCUCUGAAAGCCAG